CUGUGUGUGUUUCUCCUCCCCCACCACUGGCCCAGGCUCACAGAGACAGACAGGGGGGCUGCAGUGAUGUAACUCAUGGCCUGUGUUAGUCUAGACAGACAGAGGUCACAGCUGGACAGAUACAACCCCUCUGGAUCUGGGAUGGGCUGCAGUGAUGUAACUCAUGGCCUGUGUUAGUCUAGACAGACAGAGGUCACAGCUGGACAGAUACAACCCCUCUGGAUCUGGGAUGGGCUGCAGUGAUGUAACUCAUGGCCUGUGUUAGUCUAGACAGACAGAGGUCACAGCUGGACAGAUACAACCCCUCUGGAUCUGGGAUGGGCUGCAGUGAUGUAACUCAUGGCCUGUGUUAGUCUAGACAGACAGAGGUCACAGCUGGACAGAUACAACCCCUCUGGAUCUGGGAUGGGCUGCAGUGAUGUAACUCAUGGCCUGUGUUAGUCUAGACAGACAGAGGUCACAGCUGGACAGAUACAACCCCUCUGGAUCUGGGAUGGGCUGCAGUGAUGUAACUCAUGGCCUGUGUUAGUCUAGACAGACAGAGGUCACAGCUGGACAGAUACAACCCCUCUGGAUCUGGGAUGGGCUGCAGUGAUGUAACUCUUGGCCUGUGUUAGUCUAGACAGACAGAGGUCACAGCUGGACAGAUACAACCCCUCUGGAUCUGGGAUGGGCUGCGUUGUCACAACUGCUCCUCUUCCAUCAAAUACAUCUCACUUCUGCACUCUUUACUUUCUUUCUUUCGGGCUCGCUCAUCCUUGAGCAUGCUGGUUUACUUACUGGAGCACAUUUACUUCUCUCUCAACAUUCCUCUCCUCUCUUUCUCUCCCUCUCUCCUCUCCAUUUCUCUCUUUCUUUCACCCUUGAGCACAGUUAUUCUCACUCAAUUGUCACACUCUCUCCAUCUCAAAUGUACAUUUGGUUACUAUGACUUAAUGGUGAAUUGGGCAGUUUAGGCCUGCAUCAUUAAACCAGUUUGACAAUUUCAGAAACAUCUCUCCCUGACCGCACAAUAGGUUUGAAUAUGAAUUCUUCAGUUCCUAUAGCCAUUCAAACACCACCAAGCCAAUGUGAGUAUAUUUCAAACUCUGUGCGCUGCCUCAAUCAAGGUCCCUGGUCCCAAAUAGUGCUGCAGCAGCGUUUAGUUUGGAUAGGACAGUGUGAAGCCGAACCAAGCCAGGGUGAAGUAAUAGUACACACACACACACACACACACACACACACACACACACACACACACACACACACACACACACACACACACACACACACACACACACACACACACACACACACACACACACACACACACACACACACACACACACUCAUUGGGAACGCUGCUCUCCUCUCCUACUGGGCUGGAAAGUCUCGUUGUCUUUCAUUCUUAUUUAUCUGGAUGUGGGCUGGAGAGGAAGUAUUGGCAAGUCCGUCUGUAACUUCUAUUACUGGAAGGUUUGCUGGGCAGCUUUGUUUGUGCUUGUGUGUUUGUUAAAUGAGACUUGAGAGAGUUAGCCUGUAACUAUUGUCCCCCAGGAUUGAUUUAGAAUGGGAUAUCUUUAGAAUGCUGACACUGGCUCCACCGUGUGUGUGUGUGUGUGUGUGUGUG